rnacentral:rRNA from 1 species
UACGGAGGGUGCUAGCGUUGCUCGGAAUUACUGGGCGUAAAGCGCAUGUAGGCGGCUACAGAAGUUCGGUGUGAAAGCCCUAGGCUCAACCUAGGAAGUGCGCCGAAAACCAUGUGGCUAGAGAACCGGAGGGGAGUGAGGAAUUCCGAGUGUAGAGGUGAAAUUCGUAGAUAUUCGGAGGAACACCAGUGGCGAAGGCGUCACUCUGGACGGUUUCUGACGCUCAGAUGCGACAGCGUGGGUAGCAAACAGG